rnacentral:rRNA from 1 species
AGAGUUUGAUCAUGGCUCAGAUUGAACGCUGGCGGCAGGCCUAACACAUGCAAGUCGAGCGGCAGCGCGGGGCAACCUGGCGGCGAGCGGCGAACGGGUGAGUAAUGCGCAGGAAUCUACCCAGUAGCGGGGGAUAACCCGGGGAAACUCGGACUAAUACCGCAUACGUCCUACGGGAGAAAGCAGGGGAUCUUCGGACCUUGCACUAUUGGAAGAGCUUGCGUUGGAUUAGCUAGUUGGUAGGGUAAAGGCCUACCAAGGCGACGAUCCAUAACUGGUCUGAGAGGAUGAUCAGUCACACCGGAACUGAGACACGGUCCGGACUCCUACGGGAGGCAGCAGUGGGGGAUAUUGGACAAUGGGGGCAACCCUGAUCCAGCCAUGCCGCGUGUGUGAAGAAGGCCUUCGGGUUGUAAAGCACUUUAAGUGGGGAAAAAGGCUCGCUGGCUAAUAUCCAGCGGGAUUGAUACUACCCACAGAAUAAGCACCGGCUAACUCUGUGCCAGCAGCCGCGGUAAUAC